CUCUUCUCAGGCUUGAGUGCACAGUCUUCCCUGCUAAGCCUUCAAAGCCUUGGUCACAUCCACUGACUGGAGAGAAAGACUGGGGGCCCAGAGAAGUGUUCUCUCUUGCUACUGACAUGGCUACAGCUGCUGCCUGCCUGCCAGUUGUGGAGCAGCUGGCCUGGUGACAGAAGGGUGGAAUGGCCUCUCGAAACAGUUACAGCACCAAUUAGGUGAUGGUAGCUUUGCUGGGAGUCAAGAUGUACUUUGAAUCAGCAUCCAGUAUAUGAGGCAGCAGUGACCUGAAACACGUUCUUUUCAUGUCCAAGAACAGGAUUAAAAAGGCCACACAAGACCACAUUUAAAUUCUCUGCAUGCAGUCUACAUGUCUGAUGUCAACAGUGUCAGCUGCUUUCCUGUGCCAGGGAGUGGGACAUAGGGAUGCCAAGGAAGUGCUCCCACAAGAUGCAUGUGGCAAUUAUGCCAUCAGCCCCUGCUUCUAUCCUGCACUUGGUGGUGUUUCUCUCCAAAAGAAAAUGAAUCAAAUUACAGGGAAGGCUCCUGCCCCACUUUGCACUGUGAUCUGUGCCACAGCAGUAAUUAAAUAUCUAAUUGCCAAUGUUACAGAGUAAA